rnacentral:rRNA from 1 species
UACGUAGGGUGCAAGCGUUGUCCGGAAUUAUUGGGCGUAAAGAGCUCGUAGGCGGUUCGUCGCGUCGGCUGUGAAAUCCCGGAGCUCAACUCCGGGUCUGCAGUCGAUACGGGCGGACUUGAGUACUGCAGGGGAGACUGGAAUUCCUGGUGUAGCGGUGAAAUGCGCAGAUAUCAGGAGGAACACCGGUGGCGAAGGCGGCUCUCUGGGACGGUACUGACGCUGAGACGCGAAAGCGUGGGGAGCGAACAGG